rnacentral:rRNA from 1 species
CCUACGGGUGGCAGCAGUCGAGAAUCAUUCACAAUGGGGGAAACUCUGAUGGUGCGACGCCGCGUGGGGGAAUGAAGGUCUUCGGGUUGUAAACUGCUUUUGACAGGGAAGAGCAGAAGACGGUACCUGUCGAAUAAGCCACGGCUAACUACGUGCAAGAAGCCGCGGUAAUACGUAGGUGGCAAGCGUUGUCCGGAUUUACUGGGUGUAAAGGGCGUGUAGCCGGGCUGACAAGUCAGAUGUGAAAUCCGGGGGCUCAACCCGCGAACUGCAUUUAAAACUGUUGGUCUUGAGUAUCGGUGCGGCAGGCGGAAUGCAUAGUGUAGCGGUGAAAUGCGUAGAUAUUA